rnacentral:lncRNA from 1 species
AGAUUCAGUGGAGUCCAAUUCCACCUCUGCAGCCUCCUGGUUAGCUUUCUGGCCACUACUUGAUGCCUAUGAACCCAUAUCCUUAUCAUUAAGAUGGAUUUCUUGAUACAUAUUUGUACUUAUUUCCCUAAACUCAUGUAUAUACAUGAAGUACCUAGCACAAUGCCCACCCCAGUUAGCAUCUCCAUUUCACUCCUUGAAGACAAUGGGCAAAAUUGCCAAACAUUGGACAGAUUUUUAAAAGGAUGAGACUGAGGUGAAAUAAGAUUCAGCCAUUUUUUCCUUCGAGUUUGUUCAGCUUUAUAAUUUACCUAAGUGGGAGCACUUUGCAGAAUUAAAGGAGUCGAUAAAAUAAUUAAAAUUGUACUAUUUUUGAAACGUUUAUGCACCAAACAAUUGUUUUUAUCAUAUUGGUGGACCUAUAAGUAGUGCUACUCAAAAGCUAAUUUCAAAAAUAGAAUUCUCUCCAAAAUAAUAACACAUAUGUAUGUACAUUAAAAAGCAAAAUUUAAAAAUAAUUCUAUUGAUUGAACAUUAAACAUUGCAGAAGCAAUGACUCUUGGUACCUGUUCAUAUAAUUUGGUCAGUUCCUUAUUAGUUUUCUCUAAUAAAGUGUCAUUCUUUUUAAAGAAUGUAUUUUUUCCAAAAGGGUCUUAUUAUUUUCAGUUUUUAUAUGAAAUUGUCCGUAGUCUUUAAAAUUGCAUUAAUGUGGGAAACUUAGGUGGCUCAGCUGUUGAGUGCCUGCCUUCGGCUCAGGUCGUGAUCCCGGGGUCCUGGAUUUGAGUCCCACAUUGGGCUCCUUGUGGGGAGCCUGCUUCUCCCUCUGUGUCUCUGCCUCUCUCUGUGUCUCUCAUGAAUAAAUAAAUAAAACCUUAAAAAAAUAAAAUUAAAUUGCAUUAACAGUUAAUAAAUGUGAAAUUUUGACAUUUUCAAUUUACUCUUCUUUGUAUACUAAUAUUUUUAAUUGCCCAAUUAGUUUCUAUAGCUGCGGAUAUACAUGAUAGGCUCAAAGCAAAUUCUGUUAAAUGGAGGAUACUUAUAGUUCUAUUUUUUUGGAUUGAAGUAUGUAAAUUUUAACCUAAUACUCUUUUGCUUGCUAUUUUAACCUAAUAUUCUUUUGCUUCCAUUCAGACUAAUUUCAAUAAGUGUUGUUUUAAUUUUAAAAUUUGAGUAUAGUUGACACACAAUGUGACAUUAGUUUCAGGUGUAUGACGCAGUGAUUCAAAAUCUCUAUACCUUAUGCUGUGCUCACCCUGCCUCCAACACUAUUAUAUCAACUACAUUCCCUGUGGUGUGCCUUCUGUCCCCAUGACUCAUUCAUUCCUCAACUGGGAGCCUGUACCUCCCACUCCCCUUCACCCAUUUGGCCCAUCCCCCAACCCCUUCCUCACUGGCAAUCAAUGGUUCUCUGUAUUUACAGGUCUGAUUCUGCUUUUUUGUUUGUUUAUUCCUUUGUUUUGUUUUGUUUUUAUUCCACAUAUGAGUAAAGUCAUAGGGUCUUGUCUUUCUCAGCCUUACUUAUUACACUUAGCAUAAUAGAUUAGACAUUAAUAAGUCAGGCUAAGAUAAAGAAGUUGUUUUUAUUUUUUAUUUUAUUUUUUAAGAAGUUGUUUUCAUUUAUGAUUUGUUUGCCAUACUUAGAUGCUGUGAAGUAGAUGUUUCUAUUAAUCCUAUUCCAAAACAAAAUAUUAAUUUGCGCAAUUAUAAGUGGGAAUUUCAUACAAAGAGUUUUCUCAAACUCUUUGAGAUGCUUCUAAUGAAAUCAUGCAUGGUUGGAGCUCUCAUCAUGUAAUUUGCUUAGUUUUUGUUGGAACAAAUUUCAAUGUCUUACUGUUUGCAAGCUUUGUUUUCAAUCAUUGCAAUUCAAAUUAAAAGCUGCAAUACCUAAAGCUGCUGGUGCUCCAUUCAUCAAAUAUCUUAAUCAAAAAUCUCCAACUUUAUUCAUUUCCCAUGGCUAAUGUGACAAAUUACUGCACAUUUGGUGGUUUAUGACACAGAAAUUUAGUUCUAAUUGCCUAAAGUCUGAAAUCCAUCUCACUAGCCAAAGUCAGUGUCUAUGGCCACACCCCGCCUGAGACUCCUGGGGAGAAUCCCUUCUUGCCUCAGCCUCUGGUGGUUGUCAGCAAUCCUUGGACUGUGUCUGUAUCAUGCCCUUCUCUGAUCUCACACUCACUUGGCUUCCUCUUCUGCUUGUGUCAAAUUUCCCUCUUUCUCUUUUAUAAGAAUGGAGGGUCUACCUUUAGGGUUCACCCCGAUAAUCUAGGACAAACUGACCACCCAAAGAUCCUUUACUUAAUUACAUCUACAAAGUCCUUUUUUACUGUGUGAAGUAACAUUCACAGGAUCUAGAAAUUAGGACCCAGACAUCCUUGCAGCCAUUAUUCAUGAUACUAAGCCAAAUAAUGUUGAACAACAUGCAAUUGCAAUUUAGAAGGUGCAUUUAUAAAAAAUUUAGUUCUGUUGUAUGUCACUUAGGAUGAUUUAUGAAGUCAUUCUUUAAAAGCUUGAGGAAAUGUGUGCACCACCAGUUUAAAUUAUUUUCAACAUAAGCUUCAUUGAUUUUUUUUAAGUAAAUAUGUAACAUUUAUAUAUUUUGGUAAAGACAUCUUCUAUUUCAAUUGGAAGAAUACCACAGCUUGUUUGAAUUGUGUUUAGACCUCAAACAGUUCUAAACACACUUUUGCUUUACUGGUUUCUUAAUUUAGUGAAAUCAUUGUUUUUGCCACCACACUGUCUUCCACCAAAAUAAGUAUCUGUAUCACAAGAUCAAUGUUGAACUUUUUAAAAGAUUUUAUUUAUUUAAUUGAGAGACAGAGAAAGCUGGGGGGUGGGGAGCAGAGGGAGAGGGAAGGAAUUUCAAGCAGACGCCAUGCUGAGCAUGGAGCCCCACGUGGGGCUUGUUCCCAAGACCCUGAAAUCAUGACCUGAGCUAAAGCCAAGAGUCAGAUGCUCAACCAACUGAACACCCAGGUGCCCCUCAAUGUUGAACUUUUAAUAGCAUUUACAAUAAUAUUCAUGAUACUGUUUCACCUCUAACACACCAACAAAAAUAGUUUUCAAUCAUUAUUGGAGAUAAUGGACUUCCUGUUUGGAACAAUUAGUGAAUGAUAUAAAGAAGGCACCAUGUAACUCUUUGAUUAAUGAACCCAACUUUGUGGCUUCACUUUUUUUUAAGACUUUAUUUUUCUUUGAAUAGUGUUAGGUUCACAGCAACAUGAGAGGAAAGUAUGGAGAUUUUCCAUUU